rnacentral:rRNA from 1 species
AUUGAACGCUGGCGGCAUGCUUUACACAUGCAAGUCGAACGGUAACAGGCCGCAAGGUGCUGACGAGUGGCGAACGGGUGAGUAAUGCAUCGGAACGUGCCCAGUCGUGGGGGAUAACUACUCGAAAGAGUAGCUAAUACCGCAUACGAUCUAUUGAUGAAAGCGGGGGACCGUAAGGCCUCGCGCGAUUGGAGCGGCCGAUGUCAGAUUAGGUAGUUGGUGGGGUAAAGGCUCACCAAGCCAACGAUCUGUAGCUGGUCUGAGAGGACGACCAGCCACACUGGGACUGAGACACGGCCCAGACUCCUACGGGAGGCAGCAGUGGGGAAUUUUGGACAAUGGGCGCAAGCCUGAUCCAGCAAUGCCGCGUGCAGGAAGAAGGCCUUCGGGUUGGAAACUGCUUUUGUACGGAACGAAACGGCUCUGGUUAAUACCCGGGGCUAAUGACGGUACCGUAAGAAUAAGCACCGGCUAACUACGUGC